rnacentral:rRNA from 1 species
CCUACGGGAGGCAGCAGUGAGGAAUAUUGGUCAAUGGACGAGAGUCUGAACCAGCCAAGUCGCGUGAAGGAUGACUGCCCUAUGGGUUGUAAACUUCUUUUAUAAAGGAAUAAAACGAGGCACGUGUGCCUUUUUGCAUGUACUUUAUGAAUAAGGAUCGGCUAACUCCGUGCCAGCAGCCGCGGUAAUACGGAGGAUCCGAGCGUUAUCCGGAUGUAUUGGGUUUAAAGGGAGCGUAGAUGGGUUUUUAAGUCAGUUGUGAAAGUUUGCGGCUCAACCGUAAAAUUGCAAUUGAUACUGGCAGUCUUGAGUACAGUUGAGGUAGGCGGAAUUCGUGGUGUAGCGGUGAAAUGCUUAGAUAUCACGAAGAACCCCGAUUGCGAAGGCAGCUUACUAAACUGUGACUGACAUUGAUGCUCGAAAGUGUGGGUAUCAAACAGGAUUAGAUACCCGAGUAGUC